AUUGAACGCUGGCGGCAUGCCUUACACAUGCAAGUCGAACGGUAACGCGGGGCAACCUGGCGACGAGUGGCGAACGGGUGAGUAAUGCAUCGGAACGUGCCCAGAAGUGGGGGAUAGCCCGGCGAAAGCCGGAUUAAUACCGCAUACGACCUACGGGUGAAAGCGGGGGACCGCAAGGCCUCGCGCUAUCGGAGCGGCCGAUGUCAGAUUAGGUUGUUGGUGGGGUAAAGGCCUACCAAGCCGACGAUCUGUAGCUGGUCUGAGAGGACGACCAGCCACACUGGGACUGAGCCACGGCCCAGACUCCUACGGGAGGCAGCAGUGGGGAAUUUUGGACAAUGGGGGCAACCCUGAUCCAGCCAUGCCGCGUGCGGGAAGAAGGCCUUCGGGUUGUAAACCGCUUUUGUCAGGGAAGAAAAGCUCUGGGCUAAUACCUCGGGGUAAUGACGGUACCUGAAGAAUAAGCACCGGCUAACUACGUGCCAGCCGCCGCUGUAAGAC
rnacentral:rRNA from 1 species